rnacentral:tRNA from 1 species
UCGAAAGUAGUUUAAUAAAAAUGUUAAAUUGUCAGUUUAAAGAUGUCUAAGGAUUUUUCGAU